rnacentral:rRNA from 1 species
UACCAGCACCCCGAGUUGUCGGGGCGAUUAUUGGGCCUAAAGCAUCCGUAGCCUGUUCUGCAAGUCCUCCGUUAAAUCCACCCGCUUAACGGAUGGGCUGCGGGGGAUACUGCAGAGCUAGGAGGCGGGAGAGGCAAACGGUACUCAGUGGGUAGGGGUAAAAUCCAUUGAUCUACUGAAGACCACCAGUGGCGAAGGCGGUUUGCCAGAACGCGCUCGACGGUGAGGGAUGAAAGCUGGGGGAGCAAACCGG